GGUAAGGUGGCUGAGAGUUAAGCGGCGGAUUGUAGCUCCGUAGAGAGAGGUGUGAGUCCUCUCCUUAUCA
rnacentral:tRNA from 1 species